AGUGAACGCUGGCGGUAGGCCUAACACAUGCAAGUCGAACGGCAGCACAGGAGAGCUUGCUCUCUGGGUGGCGAGUGGCGGACGGGUGAGGAAUACAUCGGAAUCUACUCUGUCGUGGGGGAUAACGUAGGGAAACUUACGCUAAUACCGCAUACGACCUACGGGUGAAAGCAGGGGACCUUCGGGCGUUGCGCGAUUGAAUGAGCCGAUGUCGGGUUAGCUAGUUGGCGGGGUAAAGGCCCACCAAGGCGACGAUCCGUAGCGAGUCUGAGAGGAUGAUCAGCCACACUGGAACUGAGACACGGUCCAGACUCCUACGGGAGGCAGCAGUGGGGAAUAUUGGACAAUGGGCGCAAGCCUGAUCCAGCCAUACCGCGUGGGUGAAGAAGGCCUUCGGGUUGUAAAGCCCUUUUGUUGGGAAAGAAAUCCAGCUGGCUAAUACCCGGUUGGGAUGACGGUACCCAAAGAAUAAGCACUGGCUAACUUCGUGCCAGCAGCCGCCGUAA
rnacentral:rRNA from 1 species